UACGUAGGUCCCGAGCGUUGUCCGGAUUUAUUGGGCGUAAAGCGAGCGCAGGUGGUUUAUUAAGUCUGGUGUAAAAGGCAGUGGCCCAACCAUUGUAUGCAUUGGAAACUGGUAGACUUGAGUGCAGGAGAGGAGAGUGGAAUUCCAUGUGUAGCGGUGAAAUGCGUCGAUAUAUGGAGGAACACCGGUGGCAAAAGCGGCUCUCUGGCCUGUAACUGACACUGAGGUUCGAAAGCGUGGGUAGCAAACAGG
rnacentral:rRNA from 1 species